rnacentral:rRNA from 1 species
UACGUAGGGAGCAAGCGUUGUUCGGAUUUACUGGGCGUAAAGGGCGCGUAGGCGGCAAAUUAAGUCAGCUGUGAAAUCUCCGAGCUUAACUCGGAACUGUCAGCUGAUACUGAUCUGCUAGAGUGCGGAAGGGGCAAUCGGAAUUCUUGGUGUAGCGGUGAAAUGCGUAGAUAUCAAGAGGAACACCUGAGGUGAAGACGGGUUGCUGGGCCGACACUGACGCUGAGUGCGCGAAAGCCAGGGGGGCAAACGGG